rnacentral:rRNA from 1 species
CUGCUGCCUCCCGUAGGAGUCUGGGCCGUGUCUCAGUCCCAAUGUGGCCGUUCAACCUCUCAGUCCGGCUACUGAUCGUCGACUUGGUAGGCCGUUACCCCACCAACUAUCUAAUCAGACGCGAGUCCAUCCUUAGGCGCCUCAGCUUUGGUAUAUCUACGAUGCCGUUAAUAUACUUUAUAUGGUAUUACCGUCCGUUUCCAGACGCUAUCCCUUUCCUAAGGGCAGGUUACUCACGCGUUACUCACCCGUCCGCCA